AGAAAAACAAAAAAAUUGUCGAAAUUGUGAGAAUUGGAGACUCCGUGUUCCACCGACGAGAGAUAACACAGUGAGAGAGAAUGGGAGAAAUGUGAAUAGGUAUUCUAUCGGAGAACCCAAUCGGAUCUCCAUUGGAGGUGAAUCCUCAAGUUGAAGUAAGUGGAACCAGUAAUCGUGUUUGCGACAUCACAGAGGAGCCAAAUCAAGGACCGGAGAGAUCUUCUAGCUUUAGUUCAGAAAAACAAGCUAGCCAAAGCUUCGCAACUCCUACUCUCUAUCUCCAAUUUGAAUUUGGAUUGUCUUCAUCUCUUGUUGUUACCUAUUGUUGAUGACUGUAUUUAGAUUUUCAUUCAUUGCUGUAGGAGAAUUAUUUUACAAUUUAAGCUUAGUCGCAACGACUUUAGAAAACGGUAGUGAUGAUUUGGAUUCAUGAAAAUGAUUUUUGGUUUAUUUCGUGGUUGAUCGAGCUGCUCUAUAGCUUUUCGUUAUCUAAUUUGUUAUGUAAGGUCAUAUCCUUCAGUUGACCAAUAGAAUAACUGGUUAAAUUUGUGGAGGAAGCUUAGAUUUUCAAUAUGGUGCUCUUUGUUUUUAACAAUGAGGUUAUUGACAUGUUGAUGAAACUGAUAUUGUAAUGGGGAUUGUCUUUGAUAUUUGCAGGACGAGCAAUCCAUGAAUAGUGAUGCAGAAUUGUCUAAACAUUUACGAGAGCUAGGUUCUUGUCUUCUGUGAAUGAACCCUCAUCAGAUGUGACUGACAAAGACAUUAAUGAUUUUGAGUCUUGGUUGGGUGGAUCAUAUGUUGCUGGCUCUGCUGUACUAUUAUCUGGAUUGUUGAGUAUCUCCCUUGCUAGGGGUGCUAAUGUGGAGUUCAAUUUAGAAAAGUCUUUAGAACAAGAGCAUUGACAAGGUAUGGCUAAGAAAGGGACCGGAGAGAUUUACGAGCUCUGGUUCAAAAAAGACAAGCUAACCAAAGCUUCGCAACUCCCAAUCUCUAUAUCGUGUACCUUUGAUCUGCACAUGUUUCUGUUUUGACACAUGGAUUCAUGACUUUUAAAAUAAAAUAUUCAUGAAGUACUAUUUGUAAUUCAUGAUGGUUUUCAUGAAAUAUUUUUUAAAAAAACUCA